rnacentral:rRNA from 1 species
UACAGAGGGUGCGAGCGUUGUUCGGAAUUAUUGGGCGUAAAGGGCGCGUAGGCGGUGCGGUAAGUCACCUGUGAAAUCUCCCGGCUCAACUGGGAGUCUGCAGGCGAAACUGCCGUGCUCGAGUGUGGGAGAGGUGCGUGGAAUUCCCGGUGUAGCGGUGAAAUGCGUAGAGAUCGGAAAGAACACCAACGGCGAAAGCACUCUGCUGGGCCGACACUGACACUGAGAGACGAAAGCUAGGGGAGCGAAUGGG